GACGAACGCUGGCGGCGUGCUUAACACAUGCAAGUCGAACGGAAAGGCCCUGCUUUUGUGGGGUGCUCGAGUGGCGAACGGGUGAGUAACACGUGAGUAACCUGCCCUUGACUUUGGGAUAACUUCAGGAAACUGCGGCUAAUACCGGAUAGGAGCUCCUGCUGCAUGGUGGGGGUUGGAAAGUUUCGGCGGUUGGGGAUGGACUCGCGGCUUAUCAGCUUGUUGGUGGGGUAGUGGCUUACCAAGGCUUUGACGGGUAGCCGGCCUGAGAGGGUGACCGGCCACAUUGGGACUGAGAUACGGCCCAGACUCCUACGGGAGGCAGCAGUGGGGAAUAUUGCACAAUGGGCGGAAGCCUGGUGCAGCAACGCCGCGUGCGGGAUGACGGCCUUCGGGUUGUAAACCGCUUUCGCCUGUGACGAAGCGUGAGUGACGGUAAUGGGUAAAGAAGCACCGGCUAACUACGUG
rnacentral:rRNA from 1 species